AUUGAACGCUGGCGGCAUGCUUUACACAUGCAAGUCGAACGGCAGCGCGGGGCAACCUGGCGGCGAGUGGCGAACGGGUGAGUAAUACAUCGGAACGUACCCAGAAGUGGGGGAUAACGUAGCGAAAGUUACGCUAAUACCGCAUACGUUCUACGGAAGAAAGUGGGGGACCGCAAGGCCUCAUGCUUUUGGAGCGGCCGAUGUCUGAUUAGCUAGUUGGUAGGGUAAAGGCCUACCAAGGCGACGAUCAGUAGCUGGUCUGAGAGGACGACCAGCCACACUGGGACUGAGACACGGCCCAGACUCCUACGGGAGGCAGCAGUGGGGAAUUUUGGACAAUGGGCGCAAGCCUGAUUCAGCAAUGCCGCGUGAGUGAAGAAGGCCUUCGGGUUGUAAAGCUCUUUUGUCAGGGAAGAAACGGCUGAGGUUAAUACCUUCGGCUAAUGACGGUACCUGAAGAAUAAGCACCGGCUAACUACGUGCCAGCAGCCGCCGUAAAAC
rnacentral:rRNA from 1 species